rnacentral:rRNA from 1 species
UACAGAGACUGCAAGCGUUAUUCGGAUUCACUGGGCGUAAAGGGCGCGUAGGCGGCCCGGUAAGUAGGGGGUGAAAUCCUGCGGCUUAACCGCAGGGCUGCCUUCUAAACUGCCAGGCUUGAGCACAGUAGAGGCAGGCGGAAUUCCCGGUGUAGCGGUGGAAUGCGUAGAGAUCGGGAAGAACAUCGGUGGCGAAGGCGGCCUGCUGGGCUGUUGCUGACGCUGAGGCGCGACAGCGUGGGGAGCAAACAGG